GAAUCCAAUGCCCCGAAAACCCAAGGUUUCCUCCGCAAGGUUCGUCCACGGAGGGUGAGUCAGGGCCUAAGAUCAGGCCGAAAGGCGUAGUCGAUGGACAACAGGUCAAUAUUCCUGUACUACCCCUUGUUGGUACGGAGGGACGAAGGAGGCUAGGUUAGCCGAAAGAUGGUUAUAGGUUUAAGGACACAAGGUGACCCUGCUUUUUCAGGGUAAGAAGGGGUAGAGAAAAUGCCUCGAGCCGAGGUCCGAGUACCAAGCGCUGCAGCGCUGAAGUAUGAGACC
rnacentral:ncRNA from 1 species